CCAGAGAACUUAGCAGAGAUGCUUUGGUGCCUUCGGGAACUCUGAGACAGGUGCUGCAUGGCUGUCGUCAGCUCGUGUUGUGAAAUGUUGGGUUAAGUCCCGCAACGAGCGCAACCCUUAUCCUUUGUUGCCAGCGGCUCGGCCGGGAACUCAAAGGAGACUGCCGGUGAUAAACCGGAGGGAAGGUGGGGAUGACGUCAAGUCAUCAUGGCCCUUACGGCCAGGGCUACACACGUGCUACAAUGGCGCAUACAAAGAGAAGCGACCUCGCGAGAGCAAGCGGACCUCACAAAGUGCGUCGUAGUCCGGAUUGGAGUCUGCAACUCGACUCCAUGAAGUCGGAAUCGCUAGUAAUCGUAGAUCAGAAUGCUACGGUGAAUACGUUCCCGGGCCUUGUACACACCGCCCGUCACACCAUGGGAGUGGGUUGCAAAAGAAGUAGGUAGCUUAACCUUCGGGAGGGCGCUUACCACUUUGUGAUUCAUGACUGGGGUGAAGUCGUAACAAGGUAGGCGUAGCGAG
rnacentral:rRNA from 1 species